rnacentral:rRNA from 1 species
AACGAACGCUGGCGGCGUGCUUAAUACAUGCAAGUCGAGCGAGAAAGUUCCCUUCGGGGGAUGAGUACAGCGGCGAACGGGUGCGUAACACGUGGGCAAUCUGCCCUCAAGUUCGGGACAAGCCACCGGAAAGGGGGUCUAAUACCGGAUGUGACCGUCCUGAGGCAUCUUGGGACGAUCAAAGGUAGCCACUAAACUAUGCUAUCG